rnacentral:rRNA from 1 species
CCUACGGGAGGCAGCAGUGAGGAAUAUUGGUCAAUGGGCGGAAGCCUGAACCAGCCAAGUCGCGUGAGGGAAUAAGGCCCUACGGGUCGUAAACCUCUUUUGCCGGGGAGCAAGGGCCGGGACGAGUCCCGGUCCGGAGAGUACCCGGUGACAAAGCACCGGCUAACUCCGUGCCAGCAGCCGCGGUAAUACGGGGGAUGCGGGCGUUAUCCGGAUUUAUUGGGGUAAAAGGGUGCGUAGGGGGGCUUUUAAGUCAGCGGUAAAAAUUCGGGGCUCAACCCCGUUCGGCGGUUGAAACUGGGGGCCUAGAGUGGGCGAGAAGAAGGCGGAAUGCGUGGUGUAGCGGUGAAAUGCGUAGAUAUCGCGCAGAA